GUUGGGAAAUUAGAAUCCCAAUAGUUCCAAUGUUACAAAACAUGGAGGUUUGAAAUUUUAACAGUGCUCAAGGCAAUGCCGGGAGGCCUAAAUAUUCUCGAAAGGAACUGUGUACGGAGCUACAGAGCGAGGUCAAAAAUUACCAGGAAUUGCAAGAUCCUACUUAGACACUGCACCUCUGGAAUCAUGAAAUCAAGCCCAAAUGGAUUUUAAGAUCAAAGAAUGAACGCUAAGUUAAGAAACUUGAGAAUAAGGCAAGUCAGCAAUAACGACUUGCACAUGAAAGAGUUCUAGGUCAGACUAAGUCAUAAGUCACAAGUAACAGAAAACGAGUCUAAUGCAGCAUUCAGCUUUGCACACAAAGAUGAACAAACGUAAAAAGAAGAACAAUUCCAAUGAUAAUCAGAAACUGCAAGUUUUUACACCUAGUCUUUUACUAUUUUGUAUACCUAUUACCUAACAAAUUGAAAACAAAUGACAUAAUUUCUUUACUAUGAAGAACAUUGCAUGUUUUUUAAUUA